UACGGAGGGUGCGAGCGUUGUCCGGAAUCACUGGGCGUAAAGGGCGCGUAGGUGGCCUGUGGAAGUCUGCGGUGAAAGCCCGGCGCUCAACGCCGGGUCGGCCGUGGAUACUCUCGGGCUCGAGCUUACUAGAGGCAGAUGGAAUUCCGGGUGUAGCGGUGGAAUGCGUAGAGAUCCGGAAGAACACCGGUGGCGAAGGCGGCCUGCUGGGCUAUGGCUGACACUGAGGCGCGACAGCGUGGGGAGCAAACAGG
rnacentral:rRNA from 1 species